AGAGUUUGAUCCUGGCUCAGAUUGAACGCUGGCGGCAUGCCUUACACAUGCAAGUCGAACGGCAGCACGGGGGCAACCCUGGUGGCGAGUGGCGAACGGGUGAGUAAUACAUCGGAACGUGUCCUGUAGUGGGGGAUAGCCCGGCGAAAGCCGGAUUAAUACCGCAUACGCUCUACGGAGGAAAGGGGGGGAUCUUAGGACCUCCCGCUACAGGGGCGGCCGAUGGCAGAUUAGCUAGUUGGUGGGGUAAAGGCCUACCAAGGCGACGAUCUGUAGCCGGUCUGAGAGGACGACCAGCCACACUGGGACUGAGACACGGCCCAGACUCCUACGGGAGGCAGCAGUGGGGAAUUUUGGACAAUGGGCGAAAGCCUGAUCCAGCAAUGCCGCGUGUGUGAAGAAGGCCUUCGGGUUGUAAAGCACUUUUGUCCGGAAAGAAAACCUCCGCCCUAAUAUGGUGGGGGGAUGACGGUACCGGAAGAAUAAACACCGGCUAACUACGUGCCAGCAGCCGCGGUAAUACGUAGGGUGCAAGCGUUAAUCGGAAUUACUGGGCGUAAAGCGUGCGCAGGCGGUCCGCUAAGACAGAUGUGAAAUCCCCGGGCUUAACCUGGGAACUGCAUUUGUGACUGGCGGGCUAGAGUAUGGCAGAGGGGGGUAGAAUUCCACGUGUAGCAGUGAAAUGCGUAGAGAUGUGGAGGAAUACCGAUGGCGAAGGCAGCCCCCUGGGCCAAUACUGACGCUCAUGCACGAAAGCGUGGGGAGCAAACAGGAUUAGAUACCCUGGUAGUCCACGCCCUAAACGAUGUCAACUAGUUGUUGGGGAUUCAUUUCCUUAGUAACGUAGCUACGCGUGAAGUUGACCGCCUGGGGAGUACGGUCGCAAGAUUAAACUCAAAGGA
rnacentral:rRNA from 1 species